CACCAGACUCCUACGGGAGGCAGCAGUGGGGAAUAUUGCACAAUGGGGGAAACCCUGAUGCAGCGACGCCGCGUGAGUGAAGAAGUAUUUCGGUAUGUAAAGCUCUAUCAGCAGGGAAGAAAAUGACGGUACCUGAUUAAGAAGCCCCGGCUAACUACGUGCCAGCAGCCGCGGUAAUACGUAGGGGGCAAGCGUUAUCCGGAUUUACUGGGUGUAAAGGGAGCGUAGACGGCAGCGCAAGUCUGAAGUGAAAUGCCGGGGCUUAACCCCGGAACUGCUUUGGAAACUGUGUUGCUGGAGUGCUGGAGAGGCAAGCGGAAUUUCUAGUGUAGCGGUGAAAUGCGUAGAUAUUAGGAAGAACACCAGUGGCGAAGGCGGCUUGCUGGACAGUAACUGACGUUGAGGCUCGAAAGCGUGGGGAGCAAACAGGAUUAGAUACCCUGGUAC
rnacentral:rRNA from 1 species